AACGCUGCGUUUAAGAUGAGGAGAGGAACAAAAUCAGUGCGACUGAAGGUGCUCGUGGUCUCCGAGGGGAAGGACCGAGGUCUGAGUUCAGAGGUCUAAGGAGGAGAGAGAGAGAUUACUAUGGCGUUGGAUUCGUUGAAAUGGGGUUACAUUCGCAUCAUCACCGGCACAAUUCUCGGUGGUAUGCUAGGUUUCUACGUUAUGCACCGCGUCGAAGUCGCUUACAAGGAGAAGAUGAACGAGAGAUUGAAACAAUACGAGAAUGAAUUGAAGAAGAAAAAGAAGUUGAAUCAGCUUGAAGACUCCAUCUAGUUUUGUCUCUCUUUCUUCUUUUUUUCCCUUUUUUUUUUUUGAACUAUCCCUGUUUGGUUGCUGAGAAAACGGAUGCAAAGUAAAAAUAAAAAAGAAAGUAAACCCACCACGCUGAAAAACAAGCAGGACCAUGUCAUCACAAGAAGUCUCACAUUAAUAUUUAGCCAGAAACAACUCAUGGCCCCAUUAAAAGGAACGGUUGAAUGCCAUCAUCCUGUAUGAAGAUAUAAACAAGAACAAGACAGGUGACUUGGUUAUUGUACUUGGUUUUCACUGCGACAUAUGGUGGGAUUGCAGAACUUUUCAAGGUGUUGCUUUUCUCAAAACUUUUUAAGGUGUUGAUUUUCUCAAAACUUUUUAGGGGAAAAAAAAAGGUUGCAUAGCAUAGUUUUAUGCUUUUACAGCUGCUUUCAAGGAACCAUGUAUUGCAGUGUAGUAUCCUAUCCUUUAUAAGUGUUGUGUGUUUUCACAAUUUGCCAAGCACGGUUAUAGGUGGUGUGGAUAUUCACAUCAAAUUGAUAUUAAAUUAUCCAUUUAAACUACCUUUCUGGUUGGGAA